UUUGUGUUUUCUGCACAAGUUAGGACUGUUUCGGUUUUGGCCACGUUUAUUGUUUUGUAUUAUGUUCAUGUUUUCUUAUUAAAAAACAUGAACUAUAACCACGCUUCGUUUUGGUCCACCUCUCCUUCCCAGGAAGAAAGCCGUUACAGUCUUCUGGAGAAAAAUGUUACGACAGAAGAGAGAGAAGCUGCACGUAUCAAACUAUAGUUAACAAUCAAAUGGCCUACCAAAAUGUCUGAAAUUAUAAGCAGAAACGUGUCUAAAUUCGAGGUGCAAGUAGCCAGUAGUAAAUUAUCAUUAAACAUUAUUAUCGUGGAUGGAACUGCGCAGGUAGCCCAUCUUUUUGACGUGAUUUGUUUGACAAGCAGAUGAAAACAUCCUCACACAACACUCAUGCUGUCAGCCAUUCUUCCACCAUAAUAGACGUGUUUCACCUGAAGAAUGACAGUGGAUCUGGAUUCGUCGAGCGAAGAAGGAAACACUGUCUCCACAUCGUUACAAAACAGGCAUUUAACUUCUCAAUGACAGCAGCAGCAGCAGCGAGUGCAUGCAGGCAUGACAGUGGACAGGCUAAUGUCCCUCUCCCCCUCUCCUCCCUGUGGUGGUGUCUGGAACAUCAGUCUCAUCUGACUCCUGGCACACAACGACCUCCCCCCUCUCCUCUCUUUGAGGGAGGAGGACGCAGAGGAAGGUUCUUUGUGCCGAUUAGGGAGCCUAGACUAAUGUGUCAGUGCCAGCAGAGUGGCCAGGACUGAGGACUCCGCAUUGAUUUUCCCCUGCAGGUGCUGUGGGACUGAGCCCUAUAAUGAUGUGUAAUUGUAAUUGAUUAGUGGUCAUGAGCUGCUCUGUCAACAGAGCUCUGUUCUGGGUCGUACUAUUUAGGCACCAAAUAGAAGAAACGGACUGAAACAGGAAGGGAUCACCUGAACUUGUCAAAUAAGAAAGGUUUCGCUACGGUGUGCUCUAAUGAAUAUGACCGUGACCUGACCUUUCCUCUCCUGGGUCUGUCUGUGACUGUGUGAAAAGAAGAUGUGACGUCCAUCCUUGAGGUGAGACUGAGGUGAAACUCAGUCUUUAGUCUGGCAACACAGUAUCUGGUUCCUUUUCCCUUAUUACUAUGACAAAAUGGAUGGACAAGAGAAAUCAGCAAUUCUGUUUAACUGAACACCACUGUGUGAUUGGGCAUGGCGCAGAUGACUGCAAAGUUCAAAUCAAAGCACUGUUAUUCACAACGACGGUCAAACCACCGAUUCUGUGGUGCGUCAUGGUUCCAAGAAACUCAAGUCAGAAGAUAAGGUAGGAUUUUAUUUGAGUUUCCUCUGUGAAAUGUUA